GAGUUUGAUCCUGGCUCAGGAUGAACGCUGGCGGCGUGCUUAACACAUGCAAGUCGAACGGAAAUGUAAGGAAGCCUAGCGAAUUACAUUUUAGUGGCGGACGAGUGAGUAACGCGUGGAUAACCUGCCUUAUACUGGGGGAUAACAGUUAGAAAUGACUGCUAAUACCGCAUAAGCAUACGAAACCGCAUGGUUUCGUGUGAAAAACUCCGGUGGUAUAAGAUGGAUCCGCGUCUGAUUAGCUAGUUGGUGAGGUAAUGGCUCACCAAGGCAACGAUCAGUAGCCGGCCUGAGAGGGUGAACGGCCACAUUGGGACUGAGACACGGCCCAAACUCCUACGGGAGGCAGCAGUGGGGAAUAUUGCACAAUGGGCGAAAGCCUGAUGCAGCGACGCCGCGUGAGUGAAGAAGUAUUUCGGUAUGUAAAGCUCUAUCAGCAAGGAAGAAAAUGACGGUACUUGACUAAGAAGCCCCGGCUAACUACGUGCCAGCAGCCGCGGUAAUACGUAGGGGGCAAGCGUUAUCCGGAUUUACUGGGUGUAAAGGGAGUGUAGACGGUCUGGUAAGUCAGAUGUGAAAGCCCGGGGCUCAACCCCGGGACUGCAUUUGAAACUAUCAGACUAGAGUGCAGGAGAGGUAAGUGGAAUUCCUAGUGUAGCGGUGAAAUGCGUAGAUAUUAGGAGGAACACCAGUGGCGAAGGCGGCUUACUGGACUGUAACUGACGUUGAGGCUCGAAAGCGUGGGGAGCAAACAGGAUUAGAUACCCUGGUAGUCCACGCUGUAAACGAUGAAUACUAGGCGUUGGGGGGCUAUAGCCCUUCGGUGCCGCAGCUAACGCAAUAAGUAUUCCACCUGGGGAGUACGUUCGCAAGAAUGAAACUCAAAGGAAUUGACGG
rnacentral:rRNA from 1 species